AUUGAACGCUGGCGGCAGGCCUAACACAUGCAAGUCGAGCGGAUGAAGGGAGCUUGCUCCUGGAUUCAGCGGCGGACGGGUGAGUAAUGCCUAGGAAUCUGCCUGGUAGUGGGGGAUAACGUCCGGAAACGGGCGCUAAUACCGCAUACGUCCUGAGGGUGAAAGUGGGGGAUCUUCGGACCUCACGCUAUCAGAUGAGACUAAGUCGGAUUAGCUAGUUGGUGGGGUAAAGGCCUACCAAGGCGACGAUCCGUAACUGGUCUGAGAGGAUGAUCAGUCACACUGGAACUGAGACACGGUCCAGACUCCUACGGGAGGCAGCAGUGGGGAAUAUUGGACAAUGGGCGAAAGCCUGAUCCAGCCAUGCCGCGUGUGUGAAGAAGGUCUUCGGAUUGUAAAGCACUUUAAGUUGGGAGGAAGGGCAGUAAGUUAAUACCUUGCUGUUUUGACGUUACCAACAGAAUAAGCACCGGCUAACUUCGUG
rnacentral:rRNA from 1 species